rnacentral:rRNA from 1 species
GACGAACGCUGGCGGCGUGCUUAACACAUGCAAGUCGAACGGAAAGGCCCUGCUUGCAGGGUGCUCGAGUGGCGAACGGGUGAGUAACACGUGGGUGAUCUGCCCCUUACUUUGGGAUAAGCCUGGGAAACUGGGUCUAAUACUGGAUAGGACCAUGCUGUAGGUGGUGUGGUGGAAAGAUUAGUUUCGGUAAGAGAUGAGCUCGCGGCCUAUCAGCUUGUUGUUGGGGUAAUGGCCUACAAAGGCGUCGACGGGUAGCCGGCCUGAGAGGGUGGAAGGCCACAUUGGGACUGAGAUGCGGCCCAGAAUCCUGCGGGAGGCAGCAGUGGGGAAUAGUGCACAAUGGGCACAAGGCUGAUGCGGCGAAGCCGCGUGGGGGGUGAAGGCCUUCGGGUUGUAAACUCCUUUCGUCCAUGACGAAGCCCUUGUGGUGACGGUAGUGGUAGAAGAAGCACCGGCUAACUACGUG